GACGAACCGUGCGAACGUUGUUCGGAAUCACUGGGCUUAAAGGGCGCGUAGGCGGCUGAUCAAGUCCGGGGUGAAAUCCUGCAGCUUAACUGUAGAAGUGCCUUGGAUACUGGUCGGCUCGAGGGAGGUAGGGGUCUGUGGAACUGCUGGUGGAGCGGUGAAAUGCGUUGAUAUCAGCAGGAACGCCGGUGGCGAAAGCGACGGACUGGAUCUCUUCUGACGCUGAGGCGCGAAAGCUAGGGGAGCAAACGGG
rnacentral:rRNA from 1 species